rnacentral:rRNA from 1 species
UCAAGCUAAUAAGAGCAUAGGGUGAAUGCCUAGGCACCAGAAGCCGAUGAAGGACGUGAUAAGCUGCGAAAAGCUACGGGCAGGAGCAAAUAUCCGUUUAAUCCGUAGAUGUCCGAAUGGGGGAACCCACCUGAGGUAAGCACUCAGGUACCUUAACAUGAAUCCAUAGUGUUAAGGGGGGAGACGCGGGGAACUGAAACAUCUAAGUACCCGCAGGAAAAGAAAACAAAAGUGAUUCCGUAAGUAGUGGCGAGCGAACGCGGAGGAGCCCAAACCGGACUACAGCAAUGUAGGCCGGGGUUGAGGACUGGCGGAAUGAUUCUUGAGACUUAGCAGAAGCAGUUUGGAAAACUGAACCGAAGAGGGUAAGAGUCCCGUACGCGAAAAGUUGAGAGACAGGCCAGUAUCCAGAGUACCACGAGACACGGGGAACCUUGUGGGAAGCAGGGAGGACCACCUCCCAAGGCUAAAUACUAACUGGUGACCGAUAGUGAAGCAGUACCGUGAGGGAAAGGUGAAAAGAACCCCGGGAGGGGAGUGAAAAAGAACCUGAAACCCUAUGUUUACAAGCAGUUGGAGAGCGUUAAGGCUCGACAGCGUACUUUUUGUAGAACGGUCCGGCGAGUUAUUGUACGUAGCGAGGUUAAGUACUGAAGGUACGGAGCCGAAGGGAAACCGAGUCUUAAUAGGGCGGUAAGUUACGUGUAAUAGACCCGAAACCGGGUGAUCUAUCCAUGGACAGGUUGAAGCGGGAGUAAAAUCUCGUGGAGGACCGAACCACAUGACCGUUGAAAAGGUCUGGGAUGAGCUGUGGAUGGCGGAGAAAUUCCAAUCGAACUCGGAGAUAGCUGGUUCUCCCCGAAAUAGCUUUAGGGCUAGCCUCAAGGGAGUCUAACGGAGGUAAAGCACUGAAUGGGCUAGGGGCCUUACCGGGUUACCGAACCCUAUCAAACUCUGAAUGCCGUAUAGAUGCUCCUUGGGAGUCAGACAGCGUGAGAUAAGUUUCGUUGUCGAGAGGGAAACAACCCAGACCAUCAGCUAAGGUCCCAAAAUCGCAGUUAAGUGGAAAAGGAUGUGGGUUUGCUAAGACAACUAGGAUGUUGGCUUAGAAGCAGCCACUCAUUCAAAGAGUGCGUAAUAGCUCACUAGUCGAGUGAGCCUGCGCCGAAAAUUACCGGGGCUAAAACUGUGUACCGAAGCUAUGGCUUUGUGUGUGUUCAAUGGUGUUACUUUAAGAAGCGGGAUAGUGAAGGGAAGCUUUACGAAAAAUAUCCUUGUGAAACGAAUAAGAUAUUUUUCGUCAAAUUAUCCUCAAGCUAAAGCUGUGGAUUAGAGAACAGCAUUGAGCACACACGAGGGGUAGGGGAGCUUACUGUAGUAGGCUGAAGCAUGAUUGUAAGGACAUGUGGACGAGGCAGUAGUGAGAAUGCCGGAAUAAGUAGCGAGAGUAAAGUGAGAAUCUUUACCGUCGAAAACCUAAGGUUUCCUGGGGAAGGUUCGUCCGCCCAGGGUAAGUCGGGACCUAAGCUGAGGCCGAGAGGCGUAGGCGAUGGACAACAGGUUGAAAUUCCUGUACUACCGUUAGCCGCUAUAAGAGAAGUGGGGACGCAGGAGGAUAAGUCAAGCGAGUGACUGGAAGAGCUCGUUCAAAGAGGGUAGACAGUUUGGUAGGCAAAUCCGCCAGACGGUUCGAAGCUCUUAUGGGGAGGGAAAUUAGAGUACCGAAGUGACAGAUUCCACGCUGACGAGAAAAGCCACUAUCGAGGAUGAUGGUACCCGUACCGCAAACCGACACAGGUAGGUGAGGAGAGAAUCCUAAGACGAGCGGGAGAAGCGUUGUUAAGGAACUCGGCAAAUUGACCCCGUAAGUUCGCGAGAAGGGGUGCCUGCGUGAGCAGGUCGCAGAGAAUAGGCCCAAGCAACUGUUUAUCAAAAACACAGGUCUCUGCUAAAUCGAAAGAUGAAGUAUAGGGGCUGACGCCUGCCCGGUGCUGGAAGGUUACGGGGAUCUGUAAGUCGAAAGGCGAAGCAGUGAACUUAAGCCCCAGUAAACGGCGGCCGUAACUAUAACGGUCCUAAGGUAGCGAAAUUCCUUGUCAGGUAAGUUCU